rnacentral:tRNA from 1 species
AGUCCUAUAGCUCAGUCGGUUAGAGCACUUCUCUGAUAAGGAAGGGGUCGGCAGUUCAACUCUGUCUGGGACUAC